CUUUGUUUUCCUUUUUUAUUGAUGAAUUGCAAAGCAAGAUGCAAUUGAAGCCUGCUCAACAGAUAUGGACCAUGAAGUCUUAGCGUCGAAAGUCCAGGUUGGGAAUUGCUAUGAGAUUACAAAUUUUCGCAUCAAUAGAAGGGCGAAUACAGAGUGGUGCCAAAUGACAGCCAAAUUGUGUUCACGCACAAAACAGUUUUCAAGAGAAUUACAAAUGAGUUUCCAUGCAUUCUUCGCCACAGAUUUUUCUUACAAGACUACAAUAUGCUUCAUCCUCGGUUGGAUCGUGUUGAUAUACUGACAGAUGUGGUGGGUCAUAUGAAAGGAAUGCAACACUUAGAACCAAAAUAGGCCAAUGAAAGAGUUGUGCACAAAUGUGACAUCGUGCUUGAAAAUCUGAGAAAAGAAGAGGCAAAACUUACGCUGUGGGGAGAUGUUGCAAAGAAUUUUUCUUCUCUGUCGCUAGAAGCUUUGUCCCCGCCAGUUAUUGCUGUUUUUACAAGUUUAAAAGUGAAGUUGUACCAGGGACAGUGUUAUCUUAAACAACACUGGUUCCUCACUUUUCUUCAUUGACCCAGACAUUACAGAAAUAAACUCAUACAAAUCAGUAUGUUGCAGGUUUUCCAGUUCGGCAGAUUCUCUUAGGAUAUUGCCCUCCUCUUCAAAUGAAGUAAAUGAAGCCGAAAUCUUGCAGGCCAUGAAAAAAAUGACAAUUGAUAAGUUGGGUUUUUUGGAUCCAGAUUUACACAGGAUGAUACAUUUUUGUGUGAAGCAUCUGUCAUACGCUUUGACACGUCACAACUGGUGGUACAGUGCUUGCCCAACUUGUGUCAAGCAAAUGCAUAAGGAUCCAAAUGGACGGUUAACUUGCCACAAACACCCAAAUCAAAUUCCAACUCCUAGGUAACCUUGGUUCUUCAGGAUGAAACUGAUGAAAUCAAUGCUGUGAUCAUUGGUAAAUGCGGAAAAAAAUUAUUUGGUACAAGCUGCAAAAAUUUGGUCUUCAAUCCGAGACGAGGGGAUCAACAGCAGUUGCCAAAUGAAUUUUUAAGACUGAUAGGCCAGAAAAAAACUUUCCACCUCCGAUUCAGCAGGCUCAAAAAUUACAUGAACUCCAAUGAUCUUCUCAUCCACAAUGUCUCUGAAGAUGUGUCCAUGCAACCAACAACCCCGCUGCCUCUUUUCAGACAAGUGGCAAUGUCUUCCACUACAGUAUCAUCAUCUACCUCAACCUCAGAUGCAAGUGCCCAAUCAUAUAAAAGAAAGAGGGAAUCAGUCAGUAUAUCGCUUUUUAUCGAUGCCAAGAAAAGUGAUAUGGAAGAAAUUUCAAAACCCAGUGUCCAAGAUUUUGAUGAAGUUCCUAUCAAGUUAUUGAAAAGGUCUUUUCCAACCAGUUCAGGAAAGAACAUCUCUCCACCAAAAAAAUAUUAGUCAAGAGGGUUUGAUGCAAAUGCUUCAUGUUUUGCUGAAGAAAAACAAGGCAUAAUGUGCAUGCUUCAUGUUCUGCUUAAGAGAAGCAAGACAUAGUUAUUAUGGAUUUUAAUAAAUCCAGACAAUGUUUCUCUAUAUCUUUUGCCAACUGAACAGCACAACAUGGCCUAAAUGCCUUAAUAUUUUUUGCAUGUGAAUAGCACAACGUUGCUAAUGUUUUUGGCAUGUAAGUAACACAAUGUUGCCAAUAUAUUUUGAAUGUAAAUAGCACACAACUCUGUAAUAUUUUCUGAGCAACUAUUGCAGCCAGUGUAAAGCUACAAACCACUGAAUUCAAA